rnacentral:rRNA from 1 species
UACAGAGGGUGCGAGCGUUAAUCGGAAUUACUGGGCGUAAAGCGCACGUAGGUGGCGACGUAAGUCGGGUGUGAAAGCCCCGGGCUCAACCUGGGAAUUGCAUUCGAGACUGCAUUGCUGGAGUACGGAAGAGGAGGGCGGAAUUCCCGGUGUAGCGGUGAAAUGCGUAGAUAUGCGGAGGAACACCGAUGGCGAAGGCAAUCCCCUGGACCUGUACUGACGCUCAUGCACGAAAGCGUGGGGAGCAAACAGG